UUAUUAUUAAUAAUAAUAUGAUAUUUUAUUAUUUAUGACGUUUAAAUAAAAAUCUUCCUCUUUUAGGCUUAUUACAGAAUUCAUGGAUUAAAUUAUUAAUGUAGGGGCAAUGUCUAAACCGGUUUAAUUUUGAAGGCGUUCACGUUAGCAGCAGUCUCCCGUCCUCGCUUCGCUCCGCUAUGUUCAGCUCCAGUACCUCACGGGGGCUGCAGCCGCAGGUAUUCAACAAGGAGGAAGGACGGCGUUCACAAAACCCAAACGAGCGGAUUAAGAUAAAGGAACCAAAAGGAUUUACAAAAAACACUGACAGCCUGCAUGAGUUGAUAGAGACCACUGGAGAGAGGCGUGUGGUGACAGCAGUUGCUCUCGCACAGUGAUUAGCUGCUACCUUGAAGACUGCAAGCUUUGGAAUUACUGAGCUUUAAAAGUUUCUGAGCUUUGUGGCUCCAGAGGAAUUCACUGAGGGUAAGUCUGUCUCUCUCUCGUUCAGAGCCUUGCUCUGUCUCUCCCCACCUGUUUGUGGAAUUCAGCCUGUGUGCUCCUACAGCCUCCAGCCAUGCCUCUCCAUGCCUGAGCAAGCCACUCUGUCACAAGUCAUGUAAAGUCAUAUAAACUCUCUCUCUCUCUCUCUCUCUCUCUCUCUCUCUCUCUCUCUCUCUCUUUCUCUCUCUUUCCUUCUCUCUCCUUCUCUCUCCCUCUCUCACUGCUUUAGAGUUUUAAAGUUAAUUAUUUUAGUUGGAGAUAGAUAAG
rnacentral:lncRNA from 1 species